rnacentral:rRNA from 1 species
UGCCAGCCGCCGCGGUAAUACAGAGGGUGCAAGCGUUAAUCGGAUUUACUGGGCGUAAAGGGCUCGUAGGCGGCCAACUAAGUCGGACGUGAAAUCCCCAGGCUCAACCUGGGAACUGCGUCCGAUACUGGAUGGCUUGAAUCCGGGAGAGGGAUGCAGAAUUCCAGGUGUAGCGGUGAAAUGCGUAGAUAUCUGGAGGAAUACCGGUGGCGAAGGCGGCAUCCUGGACCGGCAUUGACGCUGAGGAGCGAAAGCCAGGGGAGCAAACGGGAUUAGAUA